UCAAGAAUGGUCCAGCACCCAAAAGAUAUCCAGCCAAUGGCAGGCCAGUGGUCAAAAACAGGUCAUUGAUGAAAGAGGACAAAGGAAGCUGACACAAAUUGUGCAGAGCAACAGAGAGGCUACAGUUAUUCAACUGACAGUCCAGUAUAACAUUAGUGCCCAAAGACCCAUAAAAUAAUUCAUAACUCGUCAUACCUUGACACGGAUGGGGUAUGGCAGCCGAUAUUCCACUUCUUUCAGAAAAAAAACAAGAAACGGCGGUUGCAGUGGGCUACGGAACGAAAACCAUUGACACUGGAGAAUUGGAAAAACAUUGCCUGGUCUGAUGAAUCCCGGUUCCGGCUGUUUCACGCUGAUGGGACUAUAUAUCCAUCAUGCCACGUGUCAACAUUGCAGGCUGGUGGUGUGAUGGUGUGGGGUGUGUUUUCAUGGCACACAUUGGGCCCCUCGGUAAAAGUGGACCAACAUUUGAAUGCCAUAGGAUAUCUGACUAUCAUUGCCAAUCAGGUGCAUCCCUUCAUGGCAGCAGUGUAUCCAUCUGCUAACUGAUUUUUUUCAGGAGGAUAAUGCCCCAUGCCACAAGGCUAGGAUUGUCCAGGAAUGGUUCCACGAACAUGACCGUGAAUUCAGCUUACUGCAGUGGCCUGCCCAGUCACCAGAUCUUAUUCCAAUUGAGCAUCUGUGGGAUGAGAUGAAACAAGAUAUUUGAGAGAGAGAUCCACUGACAUUACCAGCCAACUUGACACAACUGUGGGAAGCAUUGGAGUCAACAUGGGGCAGCAUCCCUGUGGAACACUUUCAACACCUUGUAGAGUCCAUGCCCCGAUGCAUUGAGGCUGUUCUGAGGGCAAAAGGGGGUGCAACUCGAGAUUAGGAAGGUGUUCUUAAUGUUUUCUACACUCAGUGUAUUUCAACUGAUCUAACUCCUGUUAGGGUUUAACCAACUAUUUGUUAGCAUAACCUAUAUAAAAUAACAGAGAAGCUAUGCCACAAUAUUAAGUAUAUAAACUAUAGAUAAUUGAAUACUGCUAUAUGUUAGAGUAAGUGGCUCAUGUGAUGGUGGGUCAUGUGGACAGAAUGAUGAUGCUUUAAAACAGGGUUUUGCAAGAGCUUUUUGCUGAACAACAGCAAUAACAAGAUAAUGGGUGCAAUGUAGGGGUUUUAGAGAACUGUGCAUUGGGUAACAAGGUGUAGGCAGCUGACUUAGUGAUAGGAGGUUGUGAAACCCAUCACAAGGGGAGCAUGUGAGGAACAGGUAGAGUGGAGAAACAACAGUAUAAGUAAAUCACUGGAAAUUGAGUGGUUGCUGACUCUUGAGUAUACGCUAAGAAGAUAAGAUCCAACGCCAGGCAACAUGUGAUGCGUCACGAGGUUGGGACCAACCUGCACGCCAACGAUAGGCUGGAGUAAGUCUAAACCACACCCAGUCUCUACUCUGACAGGCCCAUCAAGGAGUGGGAACUACGUCUGUCAAGAAGUAUUUAAAGAAGAACUUGUGAUGACAUUUCAGUUCUCUGUCUGCCCUGCGUGGUGUUACAGAGAGACCAUCUUCAAGGGAGAAUCAAGCACUGACCUUGGGGCAGAUAGAAGCCAUUCAUAGCCAAUGAUGGCCAACGAUUUGCGAUGAUGUCAGUUGAGUACAUGUUAC
rnacentral:lncRNA from 1 species